UACGUAGGGGGCAAGCGUUGUCCGGAUUUAUUGGGCGUAAAGCGCUCGCAGGCGGUUCGUUGCGUCGUGCGUGAAAGACCCCGGCUCAACUGGGGAGGGUCACUCGAUACUGAUCGACUCGAAGGCAGGAGAGGGAAGUGGAAUUCCCGGUGUAGUGGUGAAAUGCGCAGAUAUCAGGAGGAACACCGAUGGCGAAGGCAGGUCUCUGGGCCAUAACUGACGCUGAGAAGCGAAAGCAUGGGGAGCGAACAGG
rnacentral:rRNA from 1 species